GACGGGGUCUGUAAUGACCAGCUGCUUUCCGUACUUUUUAACAACCGUUAAAGGCACAGGAGAGUGGAUACACGGCAACCAGGCCCACAUUUACACACACGCCCUCACACUUACGCUCUUGAGUGUGUACGCGCGCGCGUGCGCACCAUGUGCUGUGCCACCUGAAAGCCUUGGUGACAUUUCCCAUCAACCCUCACACCACCUUAGUGUCCUGCUCUUACUUUCUCAGCGAGCACACACCUGUGCUGUCUCCAGCUGCUCUGCCAAGCGCCUCCGUGGUUGCUUUGUUGAGGCCUUCCGGCUGUCUCUGCAGCAUGGCACUCUUGUGAGGGUCUCUCUUUGGCCAGAAAUCUACCGAGUGAACUAGAAUGGCUGGCCAGGGAGCCCCAAGGACCCGCUGUCUCCACCUCCCUUAUGCUGAGGUUUGCAAGUGUGUGCUACUCUGGGGCCUGGGGAUGGGACUCAGACCCUAAACGCUGUGCAGCAAAUAUUUUAUUGGCUGAUCCUUCUCCCCAGCCCCAGAGCCUCCGUCUAAAGUACUUUCCCAGCCCUGAGACACUGAGUGGCCUGUGGGAGGACACAGAACCGACCACCCAGUUCAUCGAUACUGUUCUUCAGCUUGCUCUUUCCCUGAUGCCUCAACUCCCCCUGAAGUAGUCUGUAAAUAAACUUACAGACCAGGGGUCCUGGUGUGGUGACACUGGCCUGACAGUGACACAGUGACAGGUACAUCAGUGAGAGUCCUUCGUGCCUUCUGCUAGUGCUCUCCGACAGCCACCCCAGCCUCCGUCCUUUCACACGCCUCUCCCGGCAGCCCCGGGCAGCAGAGCUGGACGACCGCUGAACACCGCAUCCACACAAGCAGUUUUCCGCCCCCGCUGGGCGCACACCUGAAGUGCGGCACACCGGUCUCCGACCUGGCAUACUCCCGUGAGGAGCUCUGGACCCCACUGCUGUCACUCUGUGGGCUUAGGGUGAUGUUACUUUUAAGUCAGUGUGUUCCACCCGCUGCCGUCUUUAUUCUCUGCAAUGCAGACUGUCCCAGCUUGGGCAGGGGGCCCCUGAACCUGCCCUUCUGACAUGUUCCCACCAAUCUCUACGCAGUCCCUUGCUCUCUGGCACAGAAUGUGCCAGCCCCCAUUUUGUUCUGCUCUGAUUUGAGACCGGCUGUUUCUCCAGGGAGCCCUGACGAUGACAACCUGUUUUUACCGCAGGUACCAUGAGCAACAGGCCUGUGAGGCCUAUUUGCUUGGACGAUGUUCUUUUACUUGGAAGCUCACCAGAGGACCCACUGCUCUGCCUGGACCACCCAAUCCAGAACUGUGGCCGAUGCCUGAGUGGAGCUUCUCAGUCAGUGGGGUUGGGGGGGGUACCCUGACUUAAUGACAUCACUUUCCUGCUGUUUUUGUUCUUUUAAGUGUCACCCAAGGGGACUCGGCUCUGCCUGGGACUAUCAGGAAUUCUGGCUGGCUGCUUUAACAGGGCUUUUACGAUCAAUUCUGCUGGACAGUUUGGGCCCCAAUUCGAUGAUAUUUAUUACUAACUAUAUUCACUUUUACUUGCUAUGAUAUACUUAAUAAACUCACUCAUUCAAAACCCAAAGAAGGGCUAUACAAGCCUCCCAUGGUCCACUGUGAAAGGCUUCUAUACUGAAUCCUACAAACAACAGAGGCAACCUCCCACCAUGGGAGAGACCAGGCUUGCACCCUCAACAACUCUUCAGAUCUCUGAAAAGGGGAUGGGGAAGGAAAAGAGUUGAGCUGCUGACAGUCCACCUAUAGACCUGGUGUCAGAACCCAAAUAAGGAUGGCAAGGAUUAGAAAAACACCCACGGUAGCGUGGGGGUAGGUAUGGCUGGGACUCAGGAGCGGCAGCUAUCUUAGUUGGCACCGGGUGUACUACUACAGAACCAAGAUACUAUUAAUUAAAGAAGAACUUAAAAACAUGAACAAUUAUAGGGGAGUCUUGGAGAGGAGGAAGACAGUCCAUCCAAAAACGUGCAAGGCCGGGCUCCUCCCCUUCACUGGAAAGGAAACCCAAGGGACAGAUUUAGACGGCUGUUAGUUUAGUCCCGAGUGACUGUUUUCAGAUUCAGGUGCAGGAGCCAGAACAGUGAGAGCUGCUGAGAGAGAACAAUGAAUCCCUGGGUGCUGGGGCAGAGCAGCCCUUGAAACCAAAACAAGAUCUAUGCCAGGCCUGCAGUGACCUUCCCAACCCUAAGGAAAGAUGCUCCUGUUUGAAAGACAACUAGAACUUACAUCCAAUUGUGAGAAAUGAAUACAUCUCGUAUUUUAAAGGAGAUCAGAUAUCAAAUGUGCAUACAAAAUUCCACCUCGUGUAUCCAAUGAGGUGUGUGCUGUCACACGCACUCACUCUUCCCUACAAACUCACAGCUCAACAGGUUGAGCUCUGGAUCAACAGGUUGCCAUCUAGUGGCCGCUAAAGGACAAGGGCCAGUGGAGAAAUGGGUUUGUGAUGUUCAACCCAGAGGCCUUUCUGCAAAAUGGCCAUAUUUCCCCAUCAAGUGUGUUACAAAGGAUCAGUCACAAAACUCGGUGAGUGAAACACACUUCUCAGUAGAUUUGCUUUCCCCACAGCGCCUCGAAACCUGCAGCCCUUCACUUAGUCCAAAGCUACUUUUUUUCUAGCCUAUCAGAGUUUUACACAAAAAACUGGCUACCUUCUAGCCCUCCCCAAACUCAAGGUGCUUCUAGGUUGAGCACGAUCCCACUGGGGGAUGCUAAUCUCCGAGGGGGCCUGCUGUUUUUUACCAAAGGUCAGACUGCUACAGUCUAAACCUGAGUCUGCCCCUCCCCCCACCCCAUACAUGCCACCGAUUUGUAUGCUGAAAUCUUAACCUCAAAGGCAAAGCAGUAAAAUAUGAGGCAUCACACCCAGGCUCAAAGGGAAGAAUUAGAUUCAGGAGCUAUUAAUAAUAACAACAACAAAAUAACAGUAAGAAAGGGAGGCUGUGAAGGCAGGAGGGGGAUGGGGUGAGGGUCACUAAGGGAAGGUGGAAAGAGCAGUGAAUGGCCGUGAUCAAAACACACUGUAUAAAUGUUUCAUAAGAUUUUAAGUAAAUAAAAAUAUUAUUUCUAAAUUUUUGAAGGUCAAUUUUGGACUGAGUCAUGAAGGCAAAACUUUUAUAAAUGGGAUUAAUAUCCUUAAAAGAGCAGCCUAAAGAAGCCUGUUUGUCCCAAUCAGCAUGUCAGCACAGAACCAUAAGGCAUCCCUUGACAAUCCAAAUCCAAGCUGUCGCUAGAGACCAAUGCUGCUGGAGCCUCGGCCUAAGUCUUGCCCCCAGAACUGUAAGACACGAGCUUCUGCUAUUUAUAAGCAACUCUGUCUAUGGUUUUUCCUUUGCUAUAGAAAUUAAGAUGAAGUAAAAUGUUUAUCACUGCAUAAAAAUACAGGUUUUUAUCACACACACGAGUUCCGACUUGAAGCUAAAGCCAUUACCUGGGACAGAUUUAAUAAACUGGAGAUGACCAAAACCAGGGGGGAGAAAUCUAAAACAGAAGACAAAACAGCCAGAAAGACAGACCGCUUUCCACUUCAGCGCGUAUAAACAACUUUGAGCUUUCCUACGGACUAGGUAAACGCGGCUUACAAACACAGGCUUCGGUCGGGUCGGCCAGCAGCGUGGUUGCUAUAC